GACGAACGCUGGCGGCGUGCUUAACACAUGCAAGUCGAACGGAAGUGCCUGCUUUCCCUUGUGGAUUGCGGGUACUCGAGUGGCGAACGGUGGAGUAACACUUGAGUGAUCUGCCCCCAACUUGGGCAUAAGCCUGGUAAACUGGGUCUAAUUCCCGAUAGGACUGCAGGGUAUUGGCUGUGGUGGAAAACGCUUUUUUAUUGGGUUGGGAUGAGCUCGCGGCCUAUCAGCUUGUUGGUGGGGUAAUGGCCUGCCGAGGCGGUGACGGGUAGCCGGCCUGAGAGGGAGGACGGGGACAGUGGGGCUGAGAAACGGCACAGGGUCCUACGGGAGGCAGAAGCGGGGAAGAGUGGAAGAUGGGGGGAAUACUGAAGCAGGGACGCAGCGUGGAGGAUGACGGGCUGCGGGUGGUAAGCCGCCCUCGGGCGUGAAGAAGUCUCCUGGGUGGGAGGGUAGUGACGGUAGCGGUAGAAGAAGCACCGGCUAACUACGUG
rnacentral:rRNA from 1 species